CAACUCGGGGUCAUAAAAAAGAUCUGAAGGGAGGGGGUGGCAUGUAGCACAUGGGACAGGGAGAAGAGACAAGCUAGGUCCUGAAGGCAGUUUUUGGAUGAGGUGCACCAGAGGAAGGAGAGAGGCAGUGAAGAAGAGUAAGAAAGGAAGAGAACCAAGUUGGCAUUAGUAGAAAGGUAUCACUGUCAGUUUUCUACAUUAGUAGAAUCAGGUGCAGAGAGGGGUACAAUAAAGACAAGAGAUGUAGGCGCUUUGCGAAUGAGAUGCUGAUAAAACAAAUUAGAGAGCUUAGGAUGUACAAGCACUAAGGAUCUACUGUUUGGAGACACUGUUCAAUGGCAGUGGGAGGUUAGCAGAACCAUGCCAGCGGCCUACCUGAGCCAGUGAAUGGAAUCAAAAGGACACCCGGAAAGGCAGCCCACACAACGGUGGAUUUUUCCAACGCCUCUAUCUCGGUCUGGUGGAUUCAGAACAUAACAGUAAUAGUAUCCCUCGUCUUGUAGCUGGAUGUCGUGGAUCAUCACCGUUAAGUCAUUUUUAAUGGGAUUCCCUAUAAACUCCACUCGGCUUUGAAAACGCUCAAGGUUGUGUUUGGAACAACAAAUAAGGGACAGACAGAAAGACAAACAUGAACAUAAAUGCAAGAAGCAAAAAAAAAGAACUGGUUCCCUCACCCAAUGUGUCUGACAAAAUUAGUCAUAGGUGAAUCAGACCCAUUUUGUUUCAUGCAAAAUUAACAAAACAGCGAAAAUUCGCCAAAAUGGAUUGAAGUCUAUGGACAACAAAAUUAAUUUUGACGCAGGACAAACUGCGCAACGAAAUUUUGACACACAACAAUUUUC